UGCUGCUCAUCCACAGUUCUCC
rnacentral:miRNA from 1 species